CAUCAAAUGGCUGAAGUAAGCAUUGGUCUCUUAAACCAAAUUAAGAUAUAGUAACAAAUAUUUUUGAUG
rnacentral:tRNA from 1 species